rnacentral:rRNA from 1 species
GACGAACGCUGGCGGCGUGCUUAACACAUGCAAGUCGAACGGAAAGGCCCUGCUUUUGUGGGGUGCUCGAGUGGCGAACGGGUGAGUAACACGUGAGUAACCUGCCCUUGACUUUGGGAUAACUUCAGGAAACUGGGGCUAAUACCGGAUAGGAGCUCCUGCUGCAUGGUGGGGGUUGGAAAGUUUCGGCGGUUGGGGAUGGACUCGCGGCUUAUCAGCUUGUUGGUGGGGUAGUGGCUUACCAAGGCUUUGACGGGUAGCCGGCCUGAGAGGGUGACCGGCCACCUUGGGACUGAGAUACGGACCAGUCUCCUACGGGAGGCAGCAGUCGGGAAUAUUGCACAAUAGGCGGAAGCCUGUUGCAACGACGCCGCGUGCGGGAUGACGGCCUUCGAGUUGUAAACCGCUUUCGCCGGUGACGAAGCGUGAGUGACGGUAAUGGGUAAGGAAGCACCGGCUAACUACGUG